CCUGGCUGGGAGAGAUUUCCCAUCUGCGUCCAGUGAAAGGACAACGGCCACAUGUAAACACAGCACCACUGAGAUCACUGCGCCCCACAAAGGCUCCUCACCGCACUGCUAUUACGAUGGCUCUACAAAGUGACUAGAAGAAGCCCCCACUUCUCCAGAUUCAUUUUACCUUUGGAUCCAAUGGUCCCUGUAUGCAGAACUGAAGGAGAUCCCCUUGAAGAGCUCAGACUUAUCAAAAUCCACUUUGAACUGAUCCCAGAAUGGACCAAACGGGUUUCCAUCCUGCAAAGGAGAGAGAAGUGUUUCCUCAGUACGUGCAAAGGGCAAAAAGGCAGAUCUAACAAGGGCUGCAAAGUGAAAGAAUUCCUCUGUUACUGGAAGAACACAAAGUGAUACAGCAGCCUGCGUGCCCGUAUUGGCUGCACAGGAAGGAGGUGAAACACUAAAUAAAGUUAUCAGAGAAGUAA